rnacentral:lncRNA from 1 species
GGGGAUCAACAUCUUAUCAAUGAAGUGGUUAGUUUGGAAUAUAAGGGGUGUAAAUAAAAGGUACGAGCAGAAAGAAGUUAGGGGAUCAAUAUCUCUUCAAUAAAGUGGUUAGUUUGGAAUAUAAGGGGUGUAAAUAAAAGGUACAAGCAGAAAGAAGUUACGGAGUAUAUUAGAAAAAACAACAUUAACCUAGUUGGAUUAGUAGAAACUAAGGUAAAACAAAUACAUGCUAGUAGAGGUGUAAAUAAAAGGUACAAGCAGAAAGAAGUUAGGGAGUAUAUUAGGAAAAGCAACAUUAACCUAGUUGGAUUAGUAGAAACUAAGGUAAAGCAAAUACAUGCUAGUAGAAUUGCUAAUCUACUAGCACCAG